rnacentral:rRNA from 1 species
GAUGAACGCUAGCGGCAGGCCUAAUACAUGCAAGUCGAACGGUGUAGCAAUACACAGUGGCGCACGGGUGCGUAACACGUAUGCAACCUACCUUACAUUGGGGGAUAGCCUUUCGAAAGGGAGAUUAAUACCGCAUAAGACAGUAACUAGGCAUCUAGUAGCUGUUAAAGAUUUAUCGAUGUAAGCUGGGCAUGCGUCCAAUUAGUUAGUUGGCGAGGUAAUGGCUCACCAAGACGAUGAUUGGUAGGGGAACUGAGAGGUCAAUCCCCCACCCUGGCACUGAGGUACGGGCCAGACUCCUACGGGAGGCAGCAGUAGGGAAUAUUGGGCAAUGGGCGCAAGCCUGACCCAGCCAUGCCGCGUGCAGGAAGAAGGCGUUAUGCGUUGUAAACUGCUUUUAUACAGGAAGAAACGACCCUUGCGAGGGGCAUUGACGGUACUGUAUGAAUAAGCACCGGCUAACUCCGUGCCAGCCGCCGCGGUAAGAC